UACGAAGGGGGCUAGCGUUGCUCGGAAUCACUGGGCGUAAAGCGCACGUAGGCGGACUCUUAAGUCGGUGGUGAAAUCCUGGAGCUCAACUCCAGAACUGCCUUCGAUACUGGGAGUCUCGAGUCCGGGAGAGGUGAGUGGAACUGCGAGUGUAGAGGUGAAAUUCGUAGAUAUUCGCAAGAACACCAGUGGCGAAGGUGGCUCACUGGCCCGGUACUGACGCUGAGGUGCGAAAGCGUGGGGAGCAAACAGGG
rnacentral:rRNA from 1 species